rnacentral:rRNA from 1 species
UGAGGAAUAUUGGACAAUGGAUGGAAAUCUGAUCCAGCCAUGCCGCGUGCAGGAAGACGGCCCUAUGGGUUGUAAACUGCUUUUGUAUGGGAGCAAUAAGGACUACGUGUAGUUUGAUGAGAGUACCAUACGAAUAAGCAUCGGCUAACUCCGUGCCAGCAGCCGCGGUAAUACGGAGGAUGCGAGCGUUAUCCGGAUUUAUUGGGUUUAACGGGUGCGUAGGCGGCGAUAUAAGUCAGUGGUGAAAUAUUUCGGCUUAACCGAGGGACUGCCAUUGAUACUGUGUUGCUAGAAUAUGGUUGCUGUGAGUGGAAUGUGUGGUGUAGCGGUGAAAUGCUUAGAUAUCACACAGAAUAUCGAUUGCGAAGGCAGCUCACAAAGCCAUUAUUGACGCUGAGGCACGAAAGUGUGGGGAUCAAACA